CAUGCAGGCGGUUAGACAAGUCAGGGGUGAAAUCCCCGCGCUUAACGUGGGCAUUGCAUCUGAAACUGUUUAGCUAGAGUUCUGUAGAGGGGGGUAGAAUUCCAGGUGUAGCGGUGAAAUGCGUAGAUAUCGGAAGGAACAUCAGUGGCGAAAGCGGCUUCCUGGUCCAGAACCGACGUUCAGGCACGAAAGCGUGGGGAGCAAACAGGAUUAGAUACCCGCGUA
rnacentral:rRNA from 1 species